AAAUGAUCAAACUACUCAUGAGUUUUUUAUUAUGUACACUUGGUUCUCCAAAGUAUUUCAUAGUUAUAUAUCAAUGGGUUUAAACUGAUGACUGUAACUGCAUUCACGGUCAUCCCAAAAUGUUAGAUGAAAAAUAGGGGGGAUUAUUAUUACCCCGGGAUCGGGUGUUUUUAAGCUCAGGAUUUCGGGAUUCACUCUUUCGGGAUUAGGGAAUUCUUUUUUUGGGAUUUCGGGACGUCGGGAUUAUGGGAUUUCGUUUUUUAAGUCCGGGAUUUCGGGAUUAGGACCCCUCCUAUCCCACCUCAAAAAUAAGGUCAGUAGCUAUAUUUGCCUUGGGAAAACACUGUAAGAUUCUUGCACUUUUAUGUUGAUGAGCCAGAUGAAGGAUUUCAAAAUUUUUGUAAUCAGGGAAAUUAAUUCUUGCUGUUAUUUGUACAUUUUCAAAAUAUUUUAUUUU
rnacentral:lncRNA from 1 species